rnacentral:rRNA from 1 species
CCGCCGUCGAUAUGAACUCUUGGGCGGUAUCAGCCUGUUAUCCCCGGAGUACCUUUUAUCCGUUGAGCGAUGGCCCUUCCAUUCAGAACCACCGGAUCACUAUGACCUGCUUUCGCACCUGCUCGCGCCGUCACGCUCGCAGUCAAGCUGGCUUAUGCCAUUGCACUAACCUCCUGAUGUCCGACCAGGAUUAGCCAACCUUCGUGCUCCUCCGUUACUCUUUAGGAGGAGACCGCCCCAGUCAAACUACCCACCAGACACUGUCCGCAACCCGGGUAACGGGUCCACGUUAGAACAUCAAACAUUAAAGGGUGGUAUUUCAAGGUCGGCUCCAUGCAGACUGGCGUCCACACUUCAAAGCCUCCCACCUAUCCUACACAUCAAGGCUCAAUGUUCAGUGUCAAGCUAUAGUAAAGGUUCACGGGGUCUUUCCGUCUUGCCGCGGGUACACUGCAUCUUCACAGCGAGUUCAAUUUCACUGAGUCUCGGGUGGAGACAGCCUGGCCAUCAUUACGCCAUUCGUGCAGGUCGGAACUUACCCGACAAGGAAUUUCGCUACCUUAGGACCGUUAUAGUUACGGCCGCCGUUUACCGGGGCUUCGAUCAGGAGCUUCGCUUGCGCUGACCCCAUCAAUUAACCUUCCGGCACCGGGCAGGCGUCACACCGUAUACGUCCACUUUCGUGUUUGCACAGUGCUGUGUUUUUAAUAAACAGUUGCAGCCAGCUGGUAUCUUCGACUGACUUCAGCUCCAUGAGUAAAUCACUUCACCUACGUGUCAGCGUGCCUUCUCCCGAAGUUACGGCACCAUUUUGCCUAGUUCCUUCACCCGAGUUCUCUCAAGCGCCUUGGUAUUCUCUACCUGACCACCUGUGUCGGUUUGGGGUACGAUUUGAUGUUACCUGAUGCUUAGAGGCUUUUCCUGGAAGCAGGGCAUUUGUUGCUUCAGCACCGUAGUGCCUCGUCGUCACGCCUCAGUGUUAAAGUGAACCGGAUUUACCUGGAACACACACCUACACGCUUAAACCGGGACAACCGUCGCCCGGCCAACAUAGCCUUCUCCGUCCCCCCUUCGCAGUAACACCAAGUACGGGAAUAUUAACCCGUUUCCCAUCGACUACGCCUUUCGGCCUCGCCUUAGGGGUCGACUCACCCUGCCCCGAUUAACGUUGGACAGGAACCCUUGGUCUUCCGGCGAGCGGGCUUUUCACCCGCUUUAUCGUUACUUAUGUCAGCAUUCGCACUUCUGAUACCUCCAGCAACCCUCACAGGCCACCUUCACAGGCUUACAGAACGCUCCCCUACCCAACAACACCUGAGUGUCGCUGCCGCAGCUUCGGUGCAUGGUUUAGCCCCGUUACAUCUUCCGCGCAGGCCGACUCGACCAGUGAGCUAUUACGCUUUCUUUAAAUGAUGGCUGCUUCUAAGCCAACAUCCUGGCUGUCUGGGCCUUCCCACAUCGUUUCCCACUUAACCAUGACUUUGGGACCUUAGCUGGCGGUCUGGGUUGUUUCCCUCUUCACGACGGACGUUAGCACCCGCCGUGUGUCUCCCGUGAUAACAUUCUCCGGUAUUCGCAGUUUGCAUCGGGUUGGUAAGCCGGGAUGGCCCCCUAGCCGAAACAGUGCUCUACCCCCGGAGAUGAAUUCACGAGGCGCUACCUAAAUAGCUUUCGGGGAGAACCAGCUAUCUCCCGGUUUGAUUGGCCUUUCACCCCCAGCCACAGGUCAUCCGCUAAUUUUUCAACAUUAGUCGGUUCGGUCCUCCAGUUAGUGUUACCCAACCUUCAACCUGCCCAUGGCUAGAUCACCGGGUUUCGGGUCUAUACCCUGCAACUUAACGCCCGGUUAAGACUCGGUUUCCCUCCGGCUCCCCUAUACGGUUAACCUUGCUACAGAAUAUAAGUCGCUGACCCAUUAUACAAAAGGUACGCAGUCACACAGGUAAACCUGUGCUCCCACUGCUUGUACGUACACGGUUUCAGGUUCUUUUUCACUCCCCUCGCCGGGGUUCUUUUCGCCUUUCCCUCACGGUACUGGUUCACUAUCGGUCAGUCAGGAGUAUUUAGCCUUGGAGGAUGGUCCCCCCAUAUUCAGACAGGAUACCACGUGUCCCGCCCUACUCAUCGAGCUCACAGCACAUGCGCUUUUGUGUACGGGGCUGUCACCCUGUAUCGCGCGCCUUUCCAGACGCUUCCACUAACACACAUGCUGAUUCAGGCUCUGGNNNNNNNNNNNNNNNNNNNNUCUCGGUUGAUUUCUUUUCCUCGGGGUACUUAGAUGUUUCAGUUCCCCCGGUUCGCCUCAUUAACCUAUGGAUUCAGUUAAUGAUAGUGUGACGAAUCACACUGGGUUUCCCCAUUCGGAAAUCGCCGGUUAUAACGGUUCAUAUCACCUUACCGGCGCUUAUCGCAGAUUAGCACGUCCUUCAUCGCCUCUGACUGCCAGGGCAUCCACCGUGUACGCUUAGUCGCUUAACCUCACAACCCGAAGAUGUUUCUUACGAUUCAUCAUCGUGUUGCGAAAAUUUGAGAGACUCACGAACAACUUUCGUUGUUCUGUGUUUCAAUUUUCAGCUUGAUCCAGAUUUUUAAAGAGCAAA